GGCCCGUUGGUCAAGUGGUUAAGACACCGCCCUUUCACGGCGGUAACACGGGUUCGAGUCCCGUACGGGUCACCA
rnacentral:tRNA from 12 species